CGCUUUAAAAGACCCUCACUCGGCUCCCGCGGGGAGGCGGCCACUCAGCAGCGGGCAAGGACAGGAAGUGGCAGCUGCGGAGUGACCACUGCCUGAGAGCGGGUGUGUGGCGUGACUUUUGACCCCGAUAAGCUUUUUGAUGACUGCAGCUGGAUGUGGACUGCAGAGCUCCUCAGGCAUGCAGACCACCCCCCCCCACACACACAGGACACGACUGGUCACACGUUCUGCUGAAACAGCAUCAUCCUGUUCCUGUUAUGGUCCAACAUCAGGAGCACUAAAUCACCGCACAACCACACGAGAGCUUGAGAACCCGACUGUGCGCAUCAGGUUCGGACAUUGGUUCUCAAAUAUGUGUCCGUCUCAGGUCAGGGUCAGGUUUCAUGUUUGGGUUCUCACAGCACGCCUCCUUUCAUUUGCAGCCCUUCAGGCUGGAGUCCUCACUCGUGUUACUGACAGCAUUCAGCGCUGAGCUCCGCGAGGCUCACGGCACUGAGAGGACAGCUGAGUGCAACAAAAAGGGCUUUAUUUUUCAUUUGUUUGACCAAAAAUAUGUUUUAUGAUUUAUUUUUUAGUGUGUUUUAGGGUUAAACUGGUAAAGGCUGAUAUGAUGCUAUAUCAGCUCCACCCAGCAUGAGAACAGCGCAGUGUGGACAGUUUAUCCCAAAGAGGUUUGGGAUGUUGUUGAAAGCCAUUGCUGAUGCAUUUGUUAAAGCAGAACGCAAACUUAAGACUUAAGCUUGUUGUUGAACAGCUGACUAUUGUGUUAUGUCUUAUUAUUUUAUCCGACUGAAAUUUUUUCAGGCUCGGGUCAGUUUCAGGCUCAAAUGAUGUUGGUUGGGUCGGGUCAGGACAGAAUUUUGUCAAGGUCAGUUUUAGCCUUAAACUUGAUCCUGUGGGUCGGAUCGGUUCAGAAUUUAUUCAGGCCUGGGUCAGUCCCGAGCUCAAAGCUUGGGUCAUGUCAGACAGAAUUUUGUUGGGCUUGGGUCAGUUUCAGACUCAAAACUUGAUCAUGUGGAUCAGGCCGGUUCGGACAUGAUUUUGUGAGGCUCGAGUCGGUUUCGGACUCAAAAUGUGAUGUGGGUCAAGUCAGGUUUGACAGAAUUUUGUCAGCUCAGGUCAGAUUUGGACACUAAACUUGAAGUGGGUCGGAUCGGCUUCUGGCAGAAUUUGUUUGUUGUUUAGCUUGAGUCAAUUUCAGCAUUAAAACUUGUUUUGCAGUCAGUUUUGGACUUGAAACUUGAUGAUGUUGGUCAGUUCAGGUUCAGACAGAUGUUUGUCGGGCUUGGGUCAGUUUCUGACUUAAUGAGUACUUAAUGAUCUUGGUCAAUUCAGGUAGGUUUGGACAAAAUUUUGUCCAGGUUUGGUUCUGACUCAAAACUUGAUUAUGAUUCUGACCAGAAUUUUAAUGGGCUCAGGUCAGUUUCGGACUCAGAACUUGAUUAGGUUUGGGUCAGGUUGGGCUUAGAUAGAACUUUUUUAGGCUCGGGUCGGGUUCAGACUCAAAACUCAAUGUGGGUGAAGUCAGGUUCGGACUGUAUUUUGCCAUCUCAGGUCAGAUUUGGACACAAAACUUGAUGAAGUGGGUUGGGUUUGAUCAGCUUCUGGCAGAAUUUUGUUGGGCUUGGGUCAAUUUCAGAAUCUAAUCUUGAUUUGCGGUCAGUUUUGGACUUUGACAUGUUGGUCUGUUCAGGUUCAGACAGAUGUUUGUUGGGCUUGGGUCAGUUUCUGACUGAGUACUUCAUAAUGUUGGUCGGUUUGGGUCAGGUUUGGACAAAAUUCUGUUGGGCUCAGGUCAGUUUUGGACUCGAGACUUGAUGAUGUGGUUUGGAUUGAGUUGGGCUUGGAUGGAAUUUUGUUGGGCUCAGGUCAGUUUUGGACUCUAAACAUGAUCAAGUUUGGGUCAGGUUGGGUUCUUACAGAGUUUUGUUGGGCUCAGGUCAGUUUUGGACUCUAAACAUGAUGUAGUUUGGGUCGGGUUGGGUUCUUACAGUUUUUUUUUUAGUUCAGUUCAGUUUCGGGCCUGGACAAAUGGGUCAGGUUCAGACUCAAAAGUAGAUGCGGGUCGAGUCGGGCUUGGACAGUUCACUAGGUUGUUUUUUGGCCCUUAAAAAUAAGACAUGUUCAAAACAAGCCAGUGUCUUUGCAUUCUAAGCAGAAAGGCUUAUCCGUUCUUUUCAAGCUGAAUCAGAAAGCAACAUUAUCUGUAUCUCUCUCACCCUCUCCCUCUCUCUCUCUCACACUCAGCCAGCUCAGGCCGACCCUCGCUGAUGUCUCUAUGGCUUAUGGAAAUGAGGCAGAGGAACCUAUUGAAAGUGAGAGUGUGUGGUGAGAUCUGAAAGCCGACGCAGCGGGGAAGAAAAUCUGCUCUGGCUGUGGUCCUAAUUAAACACAGCUUCAAAA